AAAAUCCUCGGUCCGCCACCGAGUAGAUCGGUUUGCUGCUAACUUCUUCCAUCUUCGACAAGAGCCACCAGAGACGUUGAAGAGCUCGUGUUCAGUCUCGACGAACAAAAGG